AUUUUUUUAUUAUUAUUAGGGUAUGAUAUUAUGAAUAUUGUGAUUAGACUACUGGGAUAUAGAUCACGUGAUCGAUCCAAGUUGAGAAAAAUCUCUCACUGAUUGUUUAGAUUAGGAACAAACUGGCAGGAAUUGUUCUCUCACAAGGACUGAAAAAUGUGAUGGUUAUGGAUAUGGUUUAGAUGCCUUAAGCUGCUUUAUUCCUUAUUCACUAGAGUUGACUUGCAAAACGUCUUUCAGAGCCAAUCUUUUUUCGUAUGUUUGGAUCAGAUUAGGGGGACCCUUUUGGCAAUCAAAAGGAUAUUGUGUUGCCACUCAAACCUCUCUCUCACACACACACACACAUUUUGUGUCCUAUAAAUAAGGCUCUUAGCCCCAUCUUGAAUGAUCAAGCCAGCAAGAAAUGUCUUCUGAGUUCAAUGGAUAUAUAUAAGCUUCCAAGGCAUUGGUUGUUCCCUCUCCCUCAAGGGCUUCUACUCUUGCUAUAUGCAGUGUGGUUGAUACUUGAUAGUUGAUACAUAAUAAGGUUUGCUCAUCAUCAAACACUUGAUCAUGAACUAUGGCAGACUAGAAGCACUUGGGGAGCUGGAAACAAACCUUGUCUUGCCUAAAAAAUGCCAGUGCCACAGCGCCUAAUCUUCCCGAGGCAACCUUUGCUCACUCUCCCUCAAGGGCUUCCACCACUUGGCUCUCCAAAAGUCGAAAAGGGUGGAACCCUUUAGGGAUGGUAAACAGAAGUUGUUGCGAUAUUUUCUAGAGUCUCCAAUCCAUGCAUGGCAACUCCAUUGGAGUUUUUCUCCGUUUGUGGGUAUGUAAUGGUAUAUGCCUUCAAUCUUCCCAUGUCAGCCUCUGCUCACUCUCCCUCAAAGACUUCCAACAUUUGGCUCUCCAAAAGCCGAAAGGGGAUGGAGCUCUUUAGGGAGAGUGAACAGAAGUUGUCGUGAUCUUUUCCAGAGUCUCGGUCCAUGCAUGACAACUCUACUGUUUCAUUAGUUAAAAAGUGCUAGUGCUUCAUCUUCCCGAGGCAGCCUUUGCUCACUCUCCCUCAAAGACUUCCACCACUUGGCUCUCCAAAAGCCGAAAAGGGGUGGAAAUCUUUGGGGAGAAUGAACGAAAGUUGUCACGUUCUUUUCCAGAGUGCCCAAUCCAUGUAUGGUAACUCAAUUGCAACCUUCCUGGAUUUCUGGAUAUGUAAUGAUUGGGUUCAUGCAAGUGCAAGAUGGUUGAUCCGUCAUCCGAAUCGUAUUAGCGAAUUUUGAAAUAUUUCAUCCAUCUGCCAAAAGACAUGCAUUUACCCAAAAUCAAUCAGAUUUCCUUCCUCGAUGGAUUUGGGACUUCUAUUAUCGUUUCUGUUGGUUUGAACUUGUUGAUCACUGACCAAUGUGCAAGAAAAACGAGGUUGGAGAUCAAACCUGUUUCCAGAUACAUGCUAACCCAUGAAGUAUGGGUAUAUCAAAAAACAAGUUAUACUCGUGCGGUGUAUUUAUCGCUGUAUGGUACCUUUUGUGGUACUUCUGUAUAUAUAUCGGGUACACGAAAUAUGUAUUUAAAUUUGUUCUUCUUAAUUUUUGACAUAAUCAUACGUAUCUAAGUAUAUAUCCAAGUAGGGGGGCAACUCGGGCGGGGUUCGGAGGUUAUCCAAGCCCAGCCCAAGUUGUGCUGAGACCUGCCCAAGCCCGAAUUGUAAUCCGAGGUUGUCUGCCCAAGCCUGACCCGAGUUAAACCCGAAUUGCAAAUGAAUUUCAAUUUUUUUUUUUGCAACUACACUAUGAAAUUAUUAAAAUU